rnacentral:rRNA from 1 species
UACAGAGGGUGCAAGCGUUGUCCGGAAUUAUUGGGCGUAAAGAGCUCGUAGGCGGUGUGUCGCGUCGGCCGUGAAAACCUGCAGCUUAACUAUGGGCUUGCGGUCGAUACGGGCAUCACUGGAGUUCGGCAGGGGAGACUGGAAUUCCUGGUGUAGCGGUGAAAUGCGCAGAUAUCAGGAGGAACACCGGUGGCGAAGGCGGGUCUCUGGGCCGAUACUGACGCUGAGGAGCGAAAGCGUGGGGAGCGAACAGG